CGAACGCUGGCGGCGUGCUUAACACAUGCAAGUCGAACGCGAAAGGGACUUCGGUCCUGAGUAAAGUGGCGCACGGGUGAGUAACGCGUAGAUAACCUGUCUUCAUGUCUGGAAUAAUACGCCGAAAGGGGUACUAAUACCGGAUAUUCUUGCUUUUCAUAAGUUAUGCAAGCAAAGGUGGCCUCUGCAUAUGCUACUGCGUGAAGAGGGGUCUGCGUACCAUUAGCUAGUAGGUGGGGUAAUGGCCUACCUAGGCGACGAUGGUUAGCGGGUCUGAGAGGAUGAUCCGCCACACUGGCACUGGAACACGGGCCAGACUCCUACGGGAGGCAGCAGUGAGGAAUAUUGCGCAAUGGGGGAAACCCUGACGCAGCGACGCCGCGUGAAGUGAGGAAGGCCUUCGGGUCGUAAAGCUCUGUCAAGAGGAAAGAAGUGUACAAUGGCUAAUACCUGUUGUAUUUGACGGUACCUCUAAAGGAAGCACCGGCUAACUCCGUGCCAGCCGCCGC
rnacentral:rRNA from 1 species